rnacentral:rRNA from 1 species
UGAACGCUAGCUACAGGCUUAACACAUGCAAGUCAGGGGCAGCAUGAUCUUAGCUUGCUAAGAUUGAUGGCGACCGGCGCACGGGUGAGUAACGCGUAUCCAACUUCCCCUUAGUAGAGGAUAGCCCGGCGAAAGUCGGAUUAAUACUCUAUGUUGUAUUUUGAGGACAUCUGACGAAUACCAAAGAUUCAUCGCUAAGGGAUGGGGAUGCGUCUGAUUAGCUUGUUGGCGGGGUAACGGCCCACCAAGGCGACGAUCAGUAGGGGUUCUGAGAGGAAGGUCCCCCACAUUGGUACUGAGACACGGACCAAACUCCUACGGGAGGCAGCAGUGAGGAAUAUUGGUCAAUGGGCGAGAGCCUGAACCAGCCAAGUAGCGUGCAGGAAGACUGCCCUAUGGGUUGUAAACUGCUUUUAUGCGGGAAUAAAGUGCACCACGUGUGGUGUUUUGUAUGUACCGCAUGAAUAAGGACCGGCUAAUUCCGUGCC